CCGGGUGUCAGUCACUGCAGACAUCACUGCAGACACAGAGAUGGCCAUUAGAGCUCACCACCCCGGGUGUCAGUCACUGCAGACAUCACUGCAGACACAGAGACGGCCAUUAGAGCUCACCACCCCGGGUGUUAGUCACUGCAGACAUCACUGCAGACACAGAGACGGCCAUUAGAGCUCACCACCCCAAGUGUUAGUCACUGCAGACAUCACUGCAGACACAGAGACGGCCAUUAGAGCUCACCACCCCAGGCGUUAGUCACUGCAGACAUCACUGCAGACAGAGAAGGCCAUUAGAGCUCACCACCCCAGGUGUUAGUCACUGCAGACAUCACUGCAGACAUCACUGCAGACACAGAGACGGCCAUUAGAGCUCACCACCCCGAGCGUUAGUCACUGCAGACAUCACUGCAGACACAGAGACGGCCAUUAGAGCUCACCACCCCAAGUGUUAGUCACUGCAGACAUCACUGCAGAC
rnacentral:lncRNA from 1 species